rnacentral:lncRNA from 1 species
CUCAUCUUUCAAUCCUUGUGAAACGGUAGUUGGGUCAACAGCAAAGAGUUCUUGAGGUAAAUUCUGGAUACUUCUCUGUAACCUUUUGUAAACGAUAUUGCUUAUAAAUUGCACUAGAGGUAUCCACUUCGUAUCCCAUUGCCUGGUAUAAUUUCAGUUGCCACUCAAACCCCUCAUUCAUCCUGUAAUGAUAAUAGGCUUUUUCAAAGGGAAGUUGGUCAGUCUUCAUGAGAAAAGCAGUUAUUAUGGCCACACUUCGACUGACUCCUGCAUGACUGAAAAAGAGACCUUUAAAAUAAAACAGCAAAUAGCAACAAU